rnacentral:rRNA from 1 species
GAUUAACGCUGGCGGCGUGCCUAACACAUGCAAGUCGAGCGGCAGCGAGUUUUACACUGAAUUCUGGAAGCUUCUAGUUGAAAGAGAAGAUUUAUUCAAGAAUUUUGUGUAAAAUGUCGGCGAGCGGCGGACGGCUGAGUAACGCGUGGGAACGUACCCCAAAGUGAGGGAUAACGCAUCGAAAGGUGUGCUAAUACCGCAUAUGGUCUUCGGAUUAAAGCCUUCGGGCGCUUUGGGAACGGCCUGCGUAAGAUUAGAUAGUUGGUGGGGUAAUGGCCUACCAAGUCGACGAUCUUUAACUGGUUUGAGAGGAUGAUCAGUCAGACUGGAACUGAGACACGGUCCAGACCCCUACGGGAGGCAGCAGUGAGGAAUCUUCCACAAUGGGCGAAAGCCUGAUGGAGCAACGCCGCGUGCAGGAUGAAGGCCUUCGGGUUGUAAACUGCUUUUAUAAGUGAGGAUUAUGACAGUAACUUAUGAAUAAGGAUCGGCUAACUACGUG